GGUGAACGCUGGCGGCGCGCCUAACACAUGCAAGUCGAACGAUUAAAGCACCUUCGGGUGUGUAUAAAGUGGCGAACGGCUGAGUAACACGUGGGCAACCUGCCCCUUUCAUUGGGAUAGCCACGGGAAACCGUGGAUAAUACCGAAUACUUCGAGACUUCCGCAUGGAAGACUCGAGAAAGCUCCGGCGGAGAGGGAUGGGCCCGCGGCCUGUUAGCUUGUUGGUGGGGUAACGGCCUACCAAGGCAAUGAUGGGUAGCUGGGUUGAGAGACCGACCAGCCAGACUGGGACUGAGACACGGCCCAGACUCCUACGGGAGGCAGCAGUGGGGAAUCUUGCACAAUGGGCGAAAGCCUGAUGCAGCGACGCCGCGUGCGGGAUGAAGGCCUUCGGGUUGUAAACCGCUUUCAGCAGGGACGAGGCGAAAGUGACGGUACCUGCAGAAGAAGCCCCGGCUAACUACGUG
rnacentral:rRNA from 1 species